rnacentral:misc_RNA from 1 species
CAGAGUUUACAACUCACAACCCAUCGUGAACAUACCUUUGUUGCUUCGGCGUGCAAGCGGCUCCGGCCGGGCGCCGCCGAAGGACCCCAAACUCUUGUUUUUACAUGUGGAAAUCUGAGUAAAUCUUGAAAUAAAUCA